GGGCGAUUGGCUCAGUGGUAGAGCACUCGCUUCACACGCGAGGGGUCACUGGUUCGAACCCAGUAUCGCCCACCA
rnacentral:tRNA from 1 species